CUGUGUAGCCUUGGCUGUCCUGAACUCGCUCUGUGGACCAGGCUGCUGGGAUUAAAGGUAUGUGCUGCUACACCUUUUUAUUAUGAGUGGAGACCAUUAAUAUUAUGAGUUGUUAUUAAAAUAUGUGAAUCAAUUCCUGUCAUUUGGUGAUUUUUAUGGCAUUUUGUCAGCUCUCUUUUGGUAUUUGCUUUUCUUCUGUGACCUCUUGGUUGUGUUUAUCCUUUAGAUUAAAUAUUUGUCCUAGAAUCCUCUGUAGGGCUGGCUUAGUGGCCAUAAAUACUUUUUAAAUCUGUUUUUACUAUGGAAACUUUUUAUCUCUCCUUCAAGCUUAAUAGAUAGUUUUGCUAGGUAUAAUAUCUGGGUUGACAGUUGUGGUUCUUCAGGACUUGGAGUAGAUCUUUCCAUGUUCCUCUAGACUUUGUCUCUGCUCUCCUCUGACUCAUACAACCCUCCACUUCAUCUGUCUGUUUAUAGGGAAGCUUCCCUUUCCCCCUUGUGAGCUCAUUGAGGUUCAGAGUUAUGCUUUAUUUAGUUCUGAUUUGCUAACACGCAAUCCAUAGUGGAUACACUGAAUUUAAUUAAGAAAAGACAUCUGAGGACCAGAACUGGGAGGUAAACUCUACCCUUAAGUAGAUGAGUCUCCAUUUGAAUUUGAAUAUGAGCCAGAGAGAGUGUUGAUCUGGUAAAUCUCUUAAAUAAGAUGUUUUCUCAGUAGCACAAAGAGGCUGAAGGCUGGGACUGUGUGUAAUACUUUUGUGGGGUGUGGGGACCUGCAUGUGUAUGUGCAUGUGUCAGGGUAUCCAUUCAUCUGUGUGCACAUGUGUUUUAAGACCAGGGAUAGAGAUUGAGUGUCUUCUUCAGUCAUCCCCACUUUAUUUUUUGAAGCAAGGUUUCUCACUGAGCCUAGGGCUCAUUAAUCCUAAAUGGCUGGGCAGCAAGCUCCAGAGAUCCUCCUGACUCUAUCUCUGGGAUGACCAAUAUGUCUACACCUGGACUAUUUUAUGUGGAUGCUAGGGAUCGGAACCCAGUCUUAGUGCCUGCCUGGCAAGCACUUUACCACCUGAGCCAUCUCCCUGACCCAUAUUACUCUUGAUUGCUUUCUUGCUUUGGAUGAAGUCGGAAGUUUGCUAAUCAUGCGGAACAUCUGCAAUCCUUUUUUUUUUCCCUCAGACCUUGAACCACAGACCCUCUGUCUCCUAAGUGCUGGGAAUAGAGAUGUGUGACCUCAUGCCAGAUGGAAUAUGGAGUAUGGGAAGAUAUACAGAGAGGGAGAAAAUGCCAAGGGGAGAAGAGAACAUGACUGUGUUGAUGAUGCUGGCACCACAGACAUCUGGUAGAUAUGCUGAACCCACAAGAACCAAAGACCUCGAGUAGAAAUUUUAGAAUUGUUUAAAUCUGAUUCAAUUAAAUGAGUAUUUCAAGGAAUAAA
rnacentral:sRNA from 1 species